CCGGAUAUAAGGGUUGGGGAGGUAGUGUCGGUGUGUCGUUUUCAUGGAGGAAAAAAAGGCGUUCUGCAAAGGAACAGGUAUUUGAUGUUAUGAUGUACAUGGUAAACACGAACUCCGGAAGUAGAUUUAGACUCAACCCGUGUGAUUUUGCUCUAUAUGACCAAGAUGACGAUCUAGCGGUGACUAUGACGGAUUUUGAUAUACUAUUUUCUGAAAUGGAGGAGAGGGAACACAACUUAGUGGAACAGCUUUUUAUGGAGUUUGAUCUGGAUAGUGAUCAGAAAAUAUCUUUAAUGGAAUUCGAGGAAAAACAAGAUACUGUGUUCUCCAAAAGCACAUGUUCUAUCGAAGCUUUGUAGAAUCGUCCAAGAUGAACGAAAACAAAUUGCCUUUAAAUCAGAGGAGCAUUCGAUUUUUUACUACCUAUUUCGUGUUUUCUCUCUUAAAUACCAUAAAAUACAAAUAAAAAAAA